ACAGCCUGGGGCGGGGAGGGAGGGAAAUGGAUAGGAGCACUAGAGGACUACAAAUCCCAGGGUGCAGCACGUCCCACUGGGAUUCCGGGCUAGGUGUUAGUUUAGUGCUUCUAACCGGUUAGAAUCAAGAGCGAAACCGGGCCGGGAGCGGGGCGGGAUCCGCGCAGGAGCUGGGGAGUAGGGGAGGGAGAGCAGAGAGAAUGGAGCGAGAGGAGGCAGGUGAUAGACUAAGGCCAGAGGCUGGGAAAGACGGGAGAGGUAAAAACCUAGAAAUAGUCGUGGGCGUGGGGCUUGCGUCUUGACAAAAUCUGGGAAGGGCAAAUGAAGGGAUUUAUAAUUGGUGGAAGCUGCGAGAGGGCGGGGCUUAUCUAUUGGGCAAAGGCGGGGCAUAGGGGGCGGGGCUUAUCCUGAACCUGAGAAGACAAAAGAGAGAAUACAGUGGGGCGGGAUUUCCUUCUCGAAGGGUGUAGAGUAAAAAAGUUGAAGGGAAGCAUAGAAGAGGCAGGGUUUACUAAAGAUCGAGAAUGAAGAGGAGGCGAGCGUUAUUCUUUAUUAGAAUAGAGAGGAAAUUGACUGAUUGAAGAAAUGGGACUUAUUCCGGACAAACCGGAAAAGAGAGAAAGAGGACUAGAGCACAAAGAAAAGGGAAAAGGGCGGAGCUUAGCCUGAGACUCCCCGAAGGAAGGGUGGACGUGGGCGGGGCCUGUUCUCCGUCCGAUAAUCGGAGUGGAGUGGGUGCGCAAGCACGAGGAGGGGGCGGGGCCUUGGGGGUGGCUGUUGGCCGUUGGUGGUAUCGGGGGGCGGGCCCGAGUGUGCGGUGCUGCAGUUUGGUGAAACACACUUAGUGGAGAGAGAUGUAGCUGUGCCCUCGGCGGCGGCGGCCAUGUUCUCGGUGCUGGCGUACGGCUACCUGGUGGCCCGGACCCUGCUGGGCGGCCUCUUGCAGACCGACCCCUGGGCGGGCGGCGGUAGGGAUUACGGGCUGGUGACGGCCGGCUGCGGCUUCGGCAAGGACUUCCGCCAGGGCCUGCUCAAAAAGCGCGUCUGCUAUGGGGACGACGCCUGCUUCGUGUCCCGCCAUCGCUCCACCGACGUGCUGGGGUGAGUCGGGACUUAAUCGGUCCUCGCCAUCUCCAUCUUCCGCCCCGGGCCUUCCCCGGGCACGUUCGCGCCGGGCCCCGCAAGGUCAUCGGGAACGCGACCCCCGGCACCCGGCCAGUGCUUAAAGCCGCCCUGCCCCCGAGCAAGGCCCCGAGACGGCUGGCCGGAGACCUUGUCCAUCUGUCGGGCCACAGGUGUCUCGGGCCUAGGUCGGCUGCUCUUGGACCGUGUCCGGGCCGGGGCAGCCGCGGGGCCGCGGCGUGUCUGGCCGGCGUGGGCUCCUUAGAAGCGCCUUUCAAGUUUGCCAAGCAUUUUGCAUGCACUCUCUCUUGUGAGCUUCACAUUGGUCCUGUGACUUGGGACUGUCAGUGGGCUCAUCCCCACUGUUUGGAUGAGAGCUAAAGUGAUUUGUCCAUCUUGACAGUAGGAAGUUCUAGCCACCCAGGGCCCUUAUGGUUCAUGAGGACGGGCUUCUUCCCCUGCAUCAUCAUAUACACAGAGUAAAGAGAAGAAAGGUAAAUCUACUGGAAUACCAUAAUGGGACAAUGAGGUUGAGGAGGAUAAGAACUGCAGGUGACAGAAGCUUUAGAGCUAGCAUCUGUGGCUCCUAUUGCAGAGAGAAGCACUGCCAGUGUUCCAGGAGAAGUUGGCAUCCCUCCAAAGGUCUCCCCAGACAUCAGGACUGUAUUGAGAAAGCGAUUCAGUUCGAGAAAGUUUCAGGUAUACUUAUUUCAGUCAAGACAAGUUCUGAAAAACAAGUCUCAAAGAUGAAAAGGAUUAAUCUUGAACUGUCCAUGAAAAUUCAGCAACUUGGAUCUAACCACUUUGAAAAGGAACAAAAAAUUGAAAGACUUAACAAACUCCUGAAAGAUCAUGGACUUCUUGAAUAGCUGAACCAUGCAAUAUUUAUCUAACCACAUGGAGAGGAAACUUCUUAUUUGACAGAGUGGCCUUUGUACGUGUCAGUCAAACAUCCUGGGUAUCUCCAGGAUAAUUUCUGAAAAGAAUCUGAAGCUUUCACUUGUUCUCGGAUCUGAUCAUGUCCAGAUGUAACAUCAUUCCUUCUAAGAGCUAUAUUUUUUCCUUGAUGUGAUAAGACACUUCCCAUGAUAAGAAAUGUUUCAUAAGCUACAUUUUCUCAUUUUCCAAAUUCUAACCUUGUUUGAAUUUGAAUACUAUAACUCGAUGAGUUUGUGUAAAAAUUGAAUAAAAAAUUUUUAGUUUAUUUUUAA